AUUGAACGCUGGCGGCAUGCUUUACACAUGCAAGUCGAACGGUAACAGGCCGCAAGGUGCUGACGAGUGGCGAACGGGUGAGUAAUGCAUCGGAACGUGCCCAGUCGUGGGGGAUAACUACUCGAAAGAGUAGCUAAUACCGCAUACGAUCUAUGGAUGAAAGCGGGGGACCGUAAGGCCUCGCGCGAUUGGAGCAGCCGAUGUCAGAUUAGGUAGUUGGUGGGGUAAAGGCUCACCAAGCCAACGAUCUGUAGCUGGUCUGAGAGGACGACCAGCCACACUGGGACUGGGACACGGCCCAGACUCCUACGGGAGGCAGCAGUGGGGAAUUUUGGACAAUGGGCGCAAGCCUGAUCCAGCAAUGCCGCGUGCAGGAAGAAGGCCUUCGGGUUGUAAACUGCUUUUGUACGGAACGAAACGGCUCUGGUUAAUACCCGGGGCUAAUGACGGUACCGUAAGAAUAAGCACCGGCUAACUACGUG
rnacentral:rRNA from 1 species